rnacentral:rRNA from 1 species
CAGAGGUCCCAAGCGUUGUUCGGAUUUACUGGGCGUAAAGGGUGCGUAGGUGGUUGGAUAAGUCUGAUGUGAAAUCUCCGGGCUCAACCCGGAAAUGGCAUUGGAUACUAUUCGACUAGAGGGUUGGAGGGGGACUGGAAUACUUGGUGUAGCAGUGAAAUGCGUAGAUAUCAAGUGGAACACCAGUGGCGAAGGCGAGUCCCUGGACAACUCCUGACACUGAGGCACGAAAGCUGGGGGAGCAAACAGGAUUAGAUACCCUGGUAGUCCUAGCUGUAAACGGUGCAUAUUUGCUGUAAAAGGAAUCGACCCCUUUUGUGGCGAAGCUAACGCGUUAAAUAUGCCGCCUGGGAAGUACGGUCGCAAGAUUA